rnacentral:tRNA from 1 species
AAGCCCUGAGGUGUUAAACACAUUAGAUUGCAAAUCUUAAGUUGCGGAUUAGUUUCUGCCGGGGCUUUCC